rnacentral:rRNA from 1 species
UUAAGUUGUCAAGGGCGCAUGGUGGAUGCCUUGGCACCAGGAGCCGAUGAAGGACGUGGGAGGCCGCGAUAGGCCUGGGGGAGUUGUCAACCGAGCUGUGAUCCCAGGAUGUCCGAAUGGGGAAACCCGGCACUGUUCAUACAGUGUCACCCGCCACUGAAUGUAUAGGUGGUGUGGAGGGAACGCGGGGAAGUGAAACAUCUCAGUACCCGUAGGAAGAGAAAACAACAGUGAUUCCGUGAGUAGUGGCGAGCGAAAGCGGAUGAGGCUAAACCGGUUGCGUGUGAUACCUGGUAGGGGUUGCGCAAUUGGGGUUGUGGGAGUGUGUGUCCAGUGUCUACCAGCAUUGGCUGCAGUAAGAAAGUGGUGUGUUAGUCGAACAGUCUGGGAAGGCUGACCGUAGACCGUGAGAGUCGGGUAGGCGAAAACACAUCACCUGCAGAUCGCAUUUCCCAAGUAGCGGCGGACCCCUGAAAUCUGCCGUGAAUCUGCCAGGACCACCUGGUAAGCCUAAAUACUUCCUGGUGACCGAUAGCGGACUAGUACCGUGAGGGAAAGGUGAAAAGUACCCCGGGAGGGGAGUGAAAUAGUACCUGAAACCAUGCGCUUACAAUCCGUUAGAGCCUGCGAGUUGUUUAGUCAACUGUGGGUGAUGGCGUGCCUUUUGAAGAAUGAGCCUGCGAGUUAGUGGUGCGUGGCGAGGUUAACCUGUGGAGGGUAGCCGUAGCGAAAGCGAGUCUGAAUAGGGCGAUAUAGUCGCGUGCUCUAGACCCGAAGCGGAGUGAUCUACCCAUGGGCAGGUUGAAGCGCGGGUAAGACCGUGUGGAGGACCGAACCCACCAGCGUUGAAAAGCUGGGGGAUGACCUGUGGGUAGGGGUGAAAGGCCAAUCAAACUCCGUGAUAGCUGGUUCUCCCCGAAAUGCAUUUAGGUGCAGCGUCGCGUGUUUCUUGCCGGAGGUAGAGCACUGAUUGGUCUAGGGGGCCGACAAGCUUACCGAAAUCAGUCAAACUCCGAAUGCCGGUAAGUGAGAGCGCGGCAGUGAGACUGCGGGGGAUAAGCUCCGUAGUCGAGAGGGAAACAGCCCAGAUCACCAGCUAAGGCCCCUAAGCGUGUACUAAGUGGAAAAGGAUGUGGGAUUGCACAGACAACCAGGAGGUUGGCUUAGAAGCAGCCACCCUUGAAAGAGUGCGUAAUAGCUCACUGGUCAAGUGGUUCUGCGCCGAUAAUGUAGCGGGGCUCAAGUACACCGCCGAAGCUGUGGCAUUCACGCAUUAACCCGGCUUGACCUUACGGGGUCUUGUCUAGGUGUGUGGAUGGGUAGGGGAGCGUCGUGUGGCGGGUGAAGCGGCAGGGUGACCUAGCCGUGGACGCCAUGCGAGUGAGAAUGCAGGCAUGAGUAGCGAAAGCAGGGUGAGAAACCCUGCCGCCGGAUGACCAAGGGUUCCAGGGCCAGGCUAAUCCGCCCUGGGUAAGUCGGGACCUAAGGCGAGGCCGAAAGGCGUAGUCGAUGGACAACGGGUUGAUAUUCCCGUACCCGCGAAGAAGCGACCAUGACGAACCUUCAUGUGCUAACCAUUCUAGACUGUGUCUGUCUGCCUUCGGGUGGGCUUCAUGGUGGACGGGUGGGAUCCUGUGGGGUAGUAGUCAAGCGAUGGGGUGACGCAGGAGGGUAGCUGGACCCGGUGAAUGGUAGAGCCGGGCUAAGCGUGUAGCCCGAGUCAUAGGUAAAUCCGUGACUCAUUAAGGGUGAGACGUGACGGGUAACCGAUUGAGGUGAAGCCAGUGAUCCCAUGCUGCCGAGAAAAGCCUCUAGCGAGUUUCGAGCGGCCCGUACCCCAAACCGACUCAGGUGGUCAGGUAGAGAAUACUAAGGCGAUCGGGUGAACUGUGGUUAAGGAACUCGGCAAAUUACCCCCGUAACUUCGGGAGAAGGGGGACCCUGUCUGGUGACCGGACUAGCUCCGUGAGCUGGCUGGGGUCGCAGUGACCAGGGGGAAGCGACUGUUUACUAAAAACACAGGUCCAUGCGAAGAAGUAAUUCGAUGUAUAUGGACUGACGCCUGCCCGGUGCUGGAACGUUAAGGGGACCUGUUAGCCUUCGGGCGAAGCGGAGAACUUAAGCGCCAGUAAACGGCGGUGGUAACUAUAACCAUCCUAAGGUAGCGAAAUUCCUUGUCGGGUAAGUUCCGACCUGCACGAAUGGCGUAACGACUUCCCCACUGUCUCAACCACAGGCCCGGCGAAAUUGCAUUACGAGUAAAGAUGCUCGUUACGCGCGGCAGGACGGAAAGACCCCGGGACCUUUACUAUAGCUUGGUAUUGGUGCUUGGAACAGUUUGUGUAGGAUAGGUGGGAGCCUGUGAAGCAUUCACGCUAGUGGGUGUGGAGGCAAUCUUGAAAUACCACUCUGAUUGUUCUGGGUAUCUAACCUCGGACCGUGAUCCGGUUCAGGGACAGUGCCUGGUGGGUAGUUUAACUGGGGCGGUUGCCUCCCAAAAUGUAACGGAGGCGCCCAAAGGUUCCCUCAGCCUGGUUGGCAAUCAGGUGUUGAGUGUAAGUACACAAGGGAGCUUGACUGUGAGACCGACGGGUCAAGCAGGUGCGAAAGCAGGGACUAGUGAUCCGGCACUUGCGAGUGGAAGCGGUGUCGCUCAACGGAUAAAAGGUACCCCGGGGAUAACAGGCUGAUCUUCCCCAAGAGUCCAUAUCGACGGGAUGGUUUGGCACCUCGAUGUCGGCUCGUCGCAUCCUGGGGCUGGAGUAGGUCCCAAGGGUUGGGCUGUUCGCCCAUUAAAGCGGCACGCGAGCUGGGUUUAGAACGUCGUGAGACAGUUCGGUCCCUAUCCGCCGUGCGCGUAGGAUACUUGAGAAGGGCUGUCCCUAGUACGAGAGGACCGGGACGGACGAACCUCUGGUGUGCCAGUUGUCUUGCCAAAGGCACGGCUGGUUGGCUACGUUCGGAAGAGAUAACCGCUGAAAGCAUCUAAGCGGGAAACUCGCUUCAAGAUAAGGUAUCCCAUCCCGCAAGGGAGUAAGGCCCCCAGCUAGACUACUGGGUUGAUAGGCCGGAAAUGUACGCACAGUAAUGUGUUCAGUUGACCGGUACUAAUAGGCCGAGGACUUAAC